ACAUGUGUGUGUGUUUCUUUUAGAUAUUAAGGUGUAAUACAUUUUGUUUGAGAUUUCUCUACAUAAUUAGCGCUUUUUUGUGACCUGAGUAGCAAAUGUUUUUUUGAAAAAUUUUUGGUAUUUUAUUUGCAAUUAAAAGAUGUUUAAAAUUCUCACGACAUCCAAUCUAUCAUUUUGUUCCAAUUGUGGUUAAUUUUAUUAUUUUGUGUUUAGCAUGCCCUUCACCCACCAGAAAAUGGUCACUUCUAUAGCAAAUUCUAGAUUGAAUUCUUGAACCUAUUGGAAAUUUAUCUUGGAAAAUAAUAUAUGAACCUAUUUGUUUUUUUGUUACAACUUACAAGUCAUUUUCUUAACGUAAUUUGUCCUAGGCCCCAUUUUUUCUAACGAAUCCUUUAUCAUAUAGAAUAUAUCAUUAUACAUGCAAUAAUAUUAUAGUAUAUGUUAAUUUAUAUAUAUAUAUAUAUAUGUCUUCUCUGUGCCCAUUACCCUGUUCUUUCAAAAUCUGCUAGAAUGAAGGAAGGAUCUGAGGCUUCUCUUUUGUUUACUGUAUUUUUUUUUUUUUGAACUGGAGUUUCACUCUUGUCACCCAGGCUGGAGGGCAAUGGCAUAAUCUCAGCUCACUGCAACCUCCUCCUUCUGGGUUCAAGUGAUUCUCCUGUCUCCACCUCCCGAGUAGCUGAUAGUACAGGAGUGCACAACUACGCUUGGCUAAUGUUUGCAUUUUUAGUAGAGAUGGGGUUUCACCAUUGUUGGCCAGGCUAGUCUCGAAAUCCUGACCUCAGGUGAUCCGCCUGCCUUGGCCUCCCAAAGUGCUGGGAUUGCAGGUGUGAGCCACCGUGCCUGGCUUCUUGUUUACUUUUAAAUCCUUUUCACAAGGAAAGCUGAAACAAUGGAACUUGCCCUGUGAUUCUAAGAAAAUCCCGUGUAUGAGACCUGUGUGACAGCCACUCCUUCCCUCCAGUCCUGUACAAAUGACCACAGCACUGGCAGAUGCAGUCUGACUUUCCUAUCCCUGGAUAAUCCAUUUUUCUUAAGGUAGUUUGUAGAAGAAAGGUGAGGCCAGAGGUUUUCAGCUCAGCUCUUGUCCCCAGCUCCAGGCUUAUGCUGGAGGGAGAGCCAAAAUUAGAGAAGGAGUAUCUACAGAGACAUCUAGCUUUGACACUCACCCUAAAAAUAAGCUACUAAAUGUGAGAAGGGGCUGAGUCAAAUUAGGGGCAGCACGCAGAGGCCUUGGGGCUGCGCUCUGAGCUGGGAGUCUGUGCAAGGAGAUGCAGCCUUCAGCGAUAUGGCACUGUCAUGCUUCUACCACAAACAGCAUUCCUGGAAUCAAGACUGAGGUUCCUAGAAAUCAGUGGUUUGGGGCAGGCUUCCUUCUUGCUCCAAAUAACUAUAAUGGGUUCCAGCUGCCUGUGGCCCAGUUGCUUCAUGGAUGUUAGGGUGGAGAGGCAGGGAUGGGGUGAGGGGCACAGAGGAGCAGUGCAUCGUAGCUUCACACUGUCACAAAAGGUGAUGAAGGGCUGGGACCAAGCCUGGCUGCUCCCUCCAGGUAAGCUGUGGGAGUGAAGGAAGAGGAGGAAAGAGGCUCACCUCUUUGGAGAGUGAGCCCUGGGUGAAGCAAGCCCAGAGCUUGGAGACACACAAGUCUCUCUUUUGAAAUUAGGGGUGGGACGAGGGGAUUAUGGAGCAACUGCAGUGUGCAAGAUCCUGAGCGGGACACUGCCCAAGCCCUUUACCCCUCUCCCUCCACCCAUGAGGCAUGGGUCAUGAUGUACAGAUCACGGUUGAGGAAACUGAGGCCCAGAGAAGUUAGCUACCUAGACCAACAGGAAGGAGGGAAGUGAUGGGUGCUCCUGCUGGUUGCCUGUCACCAGAGCUGGAAAGCCACCUUAUUCAGAUCUGGGGCCUCCCCCAGUGGGCUCCUUGACAGGUGUACCUCAGCUCCAAUCCCAGAUGCUCCUCUGCCUCCUCCCUACUCAUGCUUACUUAUACUGUUUGAUCUUAGCUGGUAACACUUCUCUUUGCCACAGACAUCUAAAUGCCUUGCAGGCUUAUUGUCAAGGAUGAAAUGACUAGCCAAAAGGGUUUGCAUCAUGAAUGACCCCUAAGUAGGAUUCUUGAGAGAAGAGAGAAAGAGACCCCCCCCCAUAUUGUUCUAUAUUGUUUUAUACUCAGUAACUGUUUUAAGAAGAAACAAGGAAGUGAAACCAAAGGCAGGUAGCCCGGCACCAGGCCCCAGACCCAAAACCAGACCCCAAACCAGGCCUGGGCCUGCCUGAACUUAGCCUGAUAGUUAAAAUUCAACCAAUGACCUAGCAACUGAUGUUAUCCAUAGAUUCCAGACAUUGUAUGGAAGGACAUUGUGAAACUUUCCAUUCUGUUCUGUUUCACUCUGAUUACUGGUACAUGUAGCCCCUGUCACGUACCCCCCUAGGUUGCUCAAUCAAUCACGACCCUCUUAUGUGAAACCUUUAGCAUUGUGAGCCCUUAAAAGGGACAGAAAUUGUGCACUCAACAAGCUCGAAUUUUGAGACGUUAGUCUGCCAAUGCUUCCAGCUGAUUAAAGCCACUU
rnacentral:lncRNA from 10 species